rnacentral:tRNA from 1 species
GUCCCUGUAGCGCAAUGGAUAGCGCGUUGGACUUCUAAUCCAAAUGUCGGGGGUUAGAAUCCCACUUGGGAUA